rnacentral:rRNA from 1 species
UACGUAGGCAGCGAGCGUUGUUCGGAGUUACUGGGCGUAAAGGGUGUGUAGGCGGUUCUUUUAAGUUUGGUGUGAAAUCUCCCGGCUCAACCGGGAGGGUGCGCCGAAUACUGAGGGACUUGGAGUGCGGGAGAGGAAAGUGGAAUUCCUGGUGUAGCGGUGAAAUGCGUAGAUAUCAGGAGGAACACCGGUGGUGUAGACGGCUUUCUGGACCGUAACUGACGCUGAGACACGAAAGCGUGGGUAGCAAACAGG